GAUGAACGCUGGCGGCGUGCCUAAUACAUGCAAGUAGAACGCUGAAGGAGGAGCUUGCUUCGCUGGACGAGUUGCGAACGGGUGAGUAACGCGUAGGUAACCUGCCUGGUAGUGGGGGAUAACUAUUGGAAACGAUAGCUAAUACCGCAUAAUAGCAGCUGUUGCAUGACAUUUGCUUAAAAGGUGCCAUUGCAUCACUAACAGACGGACCUGCGUUGUAUUAGCUGGUUGGUGAGGUAACGGCUCACCAAGGGAACGAUACAUUGCCGACCUGAGAGGGUGAUCGGCCACACUGGGAAGGGGGCACAGGCCAAACUCCUGCGGGAGGCAGGAGGAGGGAAUCUUCGGCAAUGGGCGGAAGGCUGGCCGAACAAAGGCGCGGGAGUGAAAAAGGGUUUCGGAGCGUAAAGCUCUGUUGUAAGAGGAGAACGAGUGUGAGAGUGGAAAGUCCACACUGUGACGGUAUCUUACGAAGAAGCGACGGCUAACUACGUG
rnacentral:rRNA from 1 species